rnacentral:rRNA from 1 species
GAUGAACGCUGGCGGCGUGCCUAAUACAUGCGAGUCGAGCGAACGGACGAGAAGCUUGCUUCUCUGAUGUUAGCGGCGGACGGGGGAGUAACACGUGGAUAACCCACCUAUAAGACUGGGAUAACUUCGGGAAACCGGAGCUAAUACCGGAUAAUAUUUUGAACCGCAUGGUUCAAAAGUGAAAGACGGUCUUGCUGUCACUUAUAGAUGGAUCCGCGCUGCAUUAGCUAGUUGGUAAGGUAACGGCUUACCAAGGCAACGAUGCAUAGCCGACCUGAGAGGGUGAUCGGCCACACGAGAACUUAGACACGGACCAGACUCCUGCGGGAGGCAGCAGUAGGGAAUCUGCCGCAAUGGGCGAAAGCCUGACGGAGCAACGCCGCGUGAGUUAUGAAGGUCUUCGGAUCGUAAAACUCUGUUAUUAGGGAAGAACAUAUGUGUAAGUAACUGUGCACAUCUUGACGGUACCUAAUCAGAAAGCCACGGCUAACUACGUG